UAUUGAUACACUUAUUUUUAUAAUUUUUGAUUUUAGGCUUUGAGUCAUCAUUUCUUACUCAAAAUUAAGAACUGAAAUGUGCGGUUGAUGCUGUUCACAUAUGUCCCUUUGGAAUAUUUUUAAAAGGUAUGUACCCUUUAAUUUUAUUUGUUUUAUUUGAGUUUUUCUAAUUCUGUCACUAUUUAUAUGUCAAUUGUAUGACUUAGAUUUUGCCACAUCUCUUUUCAUUCAAUCCUUUGUGUGUUUUGAAAUAGAUUUAUAUGUUGUGCGGAUAUUACUCCUAUAUAUAUAAAUCUUAGAUAGUUAUUUUGUUACUCAUGUAAACUAUAAUCCUUAAACCAAUAAUAUUUCUUCAUUUAACCACAUCAGUCACUUACAAUGCUACAUCACUUCUCUUUAGAAAAUAAAUCUUUUGAAUCUCGGAUUCUCUGUUUUAUUAUUAUUAUUAUUUUGAUAAUAUUCAAUGCUUCAGUUUUAUGCAAUUGUAAAAUAAAAACAAUCGCAUCACACUCGUGCAUCGCACGGGUAAGGGUCUAGUUGCUUAUAAGCGCGACAUAUUAAUUAGAUAUUGCAACUCUUAAGUGCUAUAAACUAGUUAAUUAACUUAAAAAAAUACAUGAAAUUUGUCAAUACAAAGAUAAAUAUCACAUUCCAAAACUAAUUAAUUCUCUUUCUUUCAUUGUGCAAGAUAAAACAAUAUUUGCUCGACUCAUAUAAUUUCCACAUUUGAUAUGCAUUACUUUUAUAUACUAUAUAUUGUCCAGCAAAAUAAGCCCGUAAAUAAAUGUGUUGUCACGUCUAAAAUAUGUAAAAUAAACUAAUUAUUUUCAACAUAUUUUUUUUUUCACUACCAGUAUACGGCCUAUUGAAAUGUCUAAUAUAGUUUGGGGUCAGUUCUGACAUCAAAUGAUUUCAUCCUCCUCUCGAUCACAGUUGCGUGAAAUCAUACUGUAAUCUUUCAUACAAAGUUCAACGCUAAUCACCACUAAACCAAUUAACAAUUGAUAAUUUUUUUCAACAUUUGUUACUGUUGUUUGUCUCGUACAUAUGAAUUUUGUCCCUAUCUAUUACACAAGGUUUUAUAUUCUCUUCUCCUCCUCUAACCCUAUCUGUCACCACUUUCUCUCUUCUUCUUGAUCUAUUGGAGAGGGGUGAUUUAUGGUCAAAUUAGACCUAAAAUUAAAUCACCCCUCCAACUUGAUUUUCUUUCUACUUUAAUUAAAUAAGUGCGAUUUCCACAUAUAUUUUAUAUUUAUUUCGUUUGUUUUUGUGAUUUCAUCAUCAUUUGUUUUGAUUUUCCGUCUUAGUGCCUUGUAUUUUGUUUUCCCGUCUUAGUGCUGACUAUUGUUGUCAUGUCUUAGUUCGGAGUAUUGUUGUCCCGUCUUGGUGCGGUGUACGUUCAUUUGUUUCAGGUUGAAGGAUUAAUGUUGAUCCAGUGCAUAUAUCCAAUCAAUUAUGACUUUUGUGCAUCAACACUUCAGAUUCUGAGACAUAGAUAUUCUGAAAACUUCAAUAUAGUCAAAUAUGUCGUUUUAUGCAAUAUGUCAUUUUAUGCUAUUAACACGGAUGUUGUGAAUUUGUCCGCAGAUUCAUUCUUUUUGUUUUUAGCGACUUUGAAUUUGUAUUGCAUCGAUGUACUCUUACCAAUUUGAAUGAAUGAAUAUCUUUUAUUUAGUAAAAAAAAAAAAUCAAAGCUUUUAUGUGAUGUUUAAGUGAUCAAUUGAGCGACAUUUAACAUUACUUUUAAUUUUAUAAAUGGCUUCUUGUGAUUUCAAAGAGCUAAAAAUUAUUUAAGUCAAAAAAGCAUGAAAUUUGUACUUAUAAAGUGAUAAAAAAAAAUUUUGUUUAUUACAAGCAAAAGAGAAAAAAAAAAUAUGGCUCAAACUCUCAUGUUUUCUUAUGCAUUGAUCGUCUUUCUUUCCCUAUUUCUUGUUGUAAUCGGUAUAAGUGAAACUAAUCCUUUUGGUCUUAGUGGAGCUCCUCUCAAGACUAAACAUGAAUGCGAAAAGGACGAGGAUUGUCCAAUAAUGUUAUAUUAUCUUUAUGCUUGGUGUGUUCAGAAAUUAUGUGAGUACCAUUGAUUAAGUUUAAAAAUAAUAAUUUUGUCAAAAAAUAAAGUUAAUUUAAAAA